rnacentral:rRNA from 1 species
AACGAACGCUGGCGGCAUGCCUAACACAUGCAAGUCGAACGAGACCUUCGGGUCUAGUGGCGCACGGGUGCGUAACGCGUGGGAACCUGCCUUUAGGUUCGGAAUAACUCAGAGAAAUUUGAGCUAAUACCGGAUGAUGUCUUCGGACCAAAGAUUUAUCGCCUUUAGAUGGGCCCGCGUUGGAUUAGCUAGUUGGUGGGGUAAAGGCCUACCAAGGCGACGAUCCAUAGCUGGUCUGAGAGGAUGAUCAGCCACACUGGGACUGAGACACGGCCCAGACUCCUACGGGAGGCAGAAGUGGGGAAUAUUGGACAAUGGGCGAAAGCCUGAUCCAGCAAUGCCGCGUGAGUGAUGAAGGCCUUAGGGUUGUAAAGCUCUUUUACCCGAGAUGAUAAUGACAGUAUCGGGAGAAUAAGCUCCGGCUAACUCCGUG